GCAGUGCUGUUUUUUUCGUUCUUUGUGAAACCGGGUCGGUGGUGAGAUCGGGAUGGGGAGUGGGUUCUCGCCCCCUUGGACGGGGAGCCGGAGACGGAUUAUUCUCUGCGGGGCAACACCAACAAUUUUCCUUCGUUAGACCUGCGGUGAGAAGUUUAUUUGAAGAAAAACCCCAACUGGAAGCAAACCACAGCUGAAGACGAGAGAACAGCAACAAGUGAAUUGGCCCGAGGACUGAGAACAGCAACUGGAGAGAACAACUCUGCAUCAAGAGACUCGGAUUUCCCAGUGAUUCAGUCAGGAGAAAGUUUGGGCCAUGCGUUAAGAAUUCUGCCGGCGCUGAAGCGCCGAUGAAAUGCGCAGGCGUCAGGCUGAGGACGUCCCCGAGUAUCACACAUGCGCGCAGUACACAGAAGGCCUUGAAAAUGUCGGCUACAGGU